UACGAAGGACCCGAGCGUUAUCCGGAUUUAUUGGGUUUAAAGGGUGCGUAGGCGGAUUAUUAAGUCAGUGGUGAAAGCCUACAGCUUAACUGUAGAAUUGCCAUUGAUACUGAUGAUCUUGAGUGUGAUUGAAGUGGGCGGAAUGUGUCAUGUGGCGGUGAAAUGCUUAGAUAUGACACAGAACACCGAUUGCGAAGGCAGCUCACUAAGUCAAUACUGACGCUGAUGCACGAAAGCGUGGGGAGCAAACAGG
rnacentral:rRNA from 1 species